rnacentral:tRNA from 1 species
GGACAUGUAGCUCAAUUGGCAGAGCAUCCGCCUGAUAUGCGGAAGGUUUCAGGUUCAAGUCCUGACGUGUCCA